rnacentral:piRNA from 1 species
UGAUAAGUUUUAUACUUCCUUUGCCAGCC